rnacentral:rRNA from 1 species
UACGGGGGGGGCAAGCGUUGUUCGGAAUUACUGGGCGUAAAGAGCGCGUAGGCGGUAAUGUAAGUCAGAUGUGAAAGACCUUGGCUUAACCAGGGAACUGCAUUUGAUACUGCAUAACUAGAGUAUGGUAGAGGAAAGUGGAAUUUCCGGUGUAGCGGUGAAAUGCGUAGAUACCGGAAGGAACACCAGUGGCGAAGGCGACUUUCUGGACCAAUACUGACGCUGAGGCGCGAAAGCGUGGGGAGCAAACAGG